UCCACCUAAAUUCCUGUUGUCAAAUCCACAGAGUCUUGGCAACACAGAGGCCACUGGACAGAGGCAUAACCUUGCGUGGCAGCUGCACGGGAAUUGGAUUUGGCUCAGGUGUUUCAGAUGACUAAGAAAACCAAAAGAUCCUGCCUUACUAUGCACCUAUGGCCCUUCAAAGGCGAGAGUAGAAUCUGCUAUGAUUUAGAAGCAAGCAAUAAAAAGUACACAUCAGUUACUGUGUGUUAGGAGUUCCAGCA
rnacentral:lncRNA from 10 species